rnacentral:tRNA from 1 species
GGAAGUGUGCCUGAGACUUCAAGGACUACUUUGAUAGAGUACGCCACAGAGGAUAAAUCCCUCUUGCUUCCC